UGCUGCAUGGUUGUCGUCAGCUCGUGCCGUGAGGUGUCCGGGUUAAGUCCCAUAACGAGCGCAACCCUUACCGUUAGUUGCCAUCAGGUAAAGCUGGGGACUCUGGCGGGACUGCCACCGUAAGGUGAGAGGAAGGUGGGGAUGACGUCAAAUCAGCACGGCCCUUAUGUCCAGGGCUACACACGUGUUACAAUGGCCGGUACAGAGGGCAGCUACCCGCGAGGGGAUGCGAAUCUUGAAAGCCGGUCUCAGUUCGGAUUGGAGUCUGCAAUUCGACUCCAUGAAGUUGGAUUCGCUAGUAAUCGCGCAUCAGCCAUGGCGCGGUGAAUACGUUCCCGGGCCUU
rnacentral:rRNA from 1 species